rnacentral:rRNA from 1 species
CAGUCGCCACGGUAAUACGUAGGGUGCAAGCGUUAAUCGGAAUUUCUGGGCGUAAAGCGUGCGCAGGCGGUUUGUUAAGACAGAUGUGAAAUCCCCGGGCUCAACCUGGGAACUGCAUUUGUGACUGGCAAGCUGGAGUCUGGCAGAGGGGGGUGGAAUUCCGCGUGUAGCAGUGAAAUGCGUAGAUAUGCGGAGGAACACCGAUGGCGAAGGCAGCCCCCUGGGCCAACACUGACGCUCAUGCACGAAAGCGUGGGGAGCAAACAGGAUUAGAUACCCCUGUAGUCCCUGUCUCUUAUAC